rnacentral:rRNA from 1 species
GACGAACGCUGGCGGCGUGCUUAACACAUGCAAGUCGAACGGAAAGGCCCUGCUUUUGUGGGGUGCUCGAGUGGCGAACGGGUGAGUAACACGUGAGUAACCUGCCCUUGACUUUGGGAUAACUUCAGGAAACUGGGGCUAAUACCGGAUAGGAGCUCCUGCUGCAUGGUGGGGGUUGGAAAGUUUCGGCGGUUGGGGAUGGACUCGCGGCUUAUCAGCUUGUUGGUGGGGUAGUGGCUUACCAAGGCUUUGACGGGUAGCCGGCCUGAGAGGGUGACCGGCCACAUUGGGACUGAGGUAAGGCCCAGACUCCUACGGGAGGCAGCAGUGGGGAAUAUUGCACAAUGGGCGGAAGCCUGAUGCAGCAACGCCGCGUGCGGGAUGACGGCCUUCGGGUUGUAAACCGCUUUCGCCUGUGACGAAGCGUGAGUGACGGUAAUGGGUAAAGAAGCACCGGCUAACUACGUG